rnacentral:rRNA from 1 species
GACGAACGCUGGCGGCGUGCUUAACACAUGCAAGUCGAACGAAGAGCGAUGGAAGCUUGCUUCUAUCAAUAUUAGUGGCGAACGGGUGAGUAACGCGUAAUCAACCUGCCCUUCAGAGGGGGACAACAGUUGGAAACGACUGCUAAUACCGCAUACGAUCUAAUAUCGGCAUCGAGGAAAGAUGAAAGGUGGCCACUACAUGUAAGCUAUCACUGAAGGAGGGGAGUGCGUCUGAUUAGCUAGUUGGAGGGGUAACGGCCCACCAAGGCGAUGAUCAGUAGCCGGUCUGAUCGGAUGAACGGCCACAUUGGGACUGUGACACGGCCCAGACUCCUACGGGAUGCAGCAGUGGGGAAUCUUCCGCAAUGGACGAAAGUCUGACGGAGCAACGCCGCGUGAGUGAUGACGGCCUUCGUGUUGUAAAGCUCUGUUAAUCGGGACGAAAGGCCUUCUUGCGAAUAGUGAGAAGGAUUGACGGUACCGGAAUAGAAAGCCACGGCUAACUACGUG